UACGAAGGGGCUAGGCGUUGCUCGGAAUCACUGGGCGUAAAGGGUGCGAGUAGGCGGGUCUUUAAGUUCAGGGGUGAAAUCCUGGAGCUCAACUCCAGAACUGCCUUUGAUACUGGCGACCUUGAGUUCGGGAGAGGUGAGUGGAACUGCGAGUGUAGAGGUGAAAUUCGUAGAUAUUCGCAAGAACACCAGUGGCGAAGGCGGCUCACUGGCCCGAUACUGACGCUGAGGUGCGAAAGCGUGGGGAGCAAACAGG
rnacentral:rRNA from 1 species